GUUCAUUUCUAUUUUUCAUUUUAUUAUUUUUACCCUACACAUAAAUAUCUGCCAAGGGAAACUAUGGAGUAAAAUUCAAUGACUGUGAAUACAUGAUAUAUACAUUAAAAAUUAUUAAAUGGGGAGGUGAGGUGGUCUGACCGCCUUGCUUAUCGGUCGCAUGCUGGAGAUCUGGCUCUGCUAGAUUUGGCCUUUACGGCUGAAACUCCAGGUUCACUAUUAUUAUUUAAGCCAUGAGGUUCACCGCAGUCUGCUGGUGGUUGUUGGCGCUACCACAAUUGGCAUGUUUUGAGACCCCUGAGGGCGGGCGACAUGACACGUUGGUGCCUGAGGUCCACUUGGGAGAGAAGCGGGGCAAACAUCUGCU